rnacentral:rRNA from 1 species
GACGAACGCUGGCGGCGUGCCUAAUACAUGCAAGUCGAGCGCAGGAAGCUGACGGAACUCUUCGGAGAGAAGGCAGUGGAAUGAGCGGCGGACGGGUGAGUAACACGUAAGGAACCUGCCUCAAGGAUUGGGAUAACUCCGAGAAAUCGGAGCUAAUACCGGAUAGUUCAACGGACCGCAUGGUCCGCUGAUGAAAGGCGCUUCGGCGUCACCUUGAGAUGGCCUUGCGGUGCAUUAGCUAGUUGGUGGGGUAACGGCCCACAAAGGCGACGAUGCAUAGCCGACCUGAGAGGGUGAUCGGCCACACUGGGACUGAGACACGGCCCAGACUCCUACGGGAGGCAGCAGUAGGGAAUCUUCCACAAUGGACGAAAGUCUGAUGGAGCAACGCCGCGUGAGUGAUGAAGGUUUUCGGAUCGUAAAACUCUGUUGUAAGGGAAGAACACGUACGAGAGGGAAUGCUCGUACCUUGACGGUACCUUACGAGAAAGCCACGGCUAACUACGUGCCAGCAGCCGCCGUAA